CCUCCUGAAGUGCUGGGGUUACAGGUGUGAGCCACCAUGCCCAGCCUGGACCCUCCUUUCUGCUGGUCCCACCUCAAGGCUGGGGUUAAUCUCAGAACCCACCUCACAGAGCCGUGGUGGGGACCCAGUGGUGUGAUGAUUUGUUUAUGUGCCAACCUGGCUGAGCCACAGCCCCCAGCUGCUCAACCAAACACCGAGACAUGUCACCGUGGAAGGAUUUUGUCGCCGUGACUGACGUCUCUAAUCAGUCGACUUUGCUGUAUAUAUUUAAGUACAGAUAGGGUUUGACCGUGUCAGCCAG